GAGUUAUUGUGCUCCAAUGGUC
rnacentral:siRNA from 1 species